GGUGUUCCUAGGUUUGGAAAUACAAAUCCCAUGGGAAGUCAGCUGAAGACCAUUUUAUGCGUCACUCAUCCUGUUACGAGCCCUGUGCUGUUCUGUCUCUCUAUAGGG
ensembl:misc_RNA